rnacentral:rRNA from 1 species
GGGUGACUGCGUACCUUUUGUAUAAUGGGUCAGCGACUUAUAUUCUGUAGCAAGGUUAACCGAAUAGGGGAGCCGAAGGGAAACCGAGUCUUAACUGGGCGUUAAGUUGCAGGGUAUAGACCCGAAACCCGGUGAUCUAGCCAUGGGCAGGUUGAAGGUUGGGUAACACUAACUGGAGGACCGAACCGACUAAUGUUGAAAAAUUAGCGGAUGACUUGUGGCUGGGGGUGAAAGGCCAAUCAAACCGGGAGAUAGCUGGUUCUCCCCGAAAGCUAUUUAGGUAGCGCCUCGUGAAUUCAUCUCCGGGGGUAGAGCACUGUUUCGGCAAGGGGGUCAUCCCGACUUACCAACCCGAUGCAAACUGCGAAUACCGGAGAAUGUUAUCACGGGAGACACACGGCGGGUGCUAACGUCCGUCGUGAAGAGGGAAACAACCCAGACCGCCAGCUAAGGUCCCAAAGUCAUGGUUAAGUGGGAAACGAUGUGGGAAGGCCCAGACAGCCAGGAUGUUGGCUUAGAAGCAGCCAUCAUUUAAAGAAAGCGUAAUAGCUCACUGGUCGAGUCGGCCUGCGCGGAAGAUGUAACGGGGCUAAACCAUGCACCGAAGCUGCGGCAGCGACGCUUAUGCGUUGUUGGGUAGGGGAGCGUUCUGUAAGCCUGUGAAGGUGGCCUGUGAGGGUUGCUGGAGGUAUCAGAAGUGCGAAUGCUGACAUAAGUAACGAUAAAGCGGGUGAAAAGCCCGCUCGCCGGAAGACCAAGGGUUCCUGUCCAACGUUAAUCGGGGCAGGGUGAGUCGACCCCUAAGGCGAGGCCGAAAGGCGUAGUCGAUGGGAAACAGGUUAAUAUUCCUGUACUUGGUGUUACUGCGAAGGGGGGACGGAGAAGGCUAUGUUGGCCGGGCGACGGUUGUCCCGGUUUAAGCGUGUAGGCUGGUUUUCCAGGCAAAUCCGGAAAAUCAAGGCUGAGGCGUGAUGACGAGGCACUACGGUGCUGAAGCGACAAAUGCCCUGCUUCCAGGAAAAGCCUCUAAGCAUCAGGUAACAUUAAAUCGUACCCCAAACCGACACAGGUGGUCAGGUAGAGAAUACCAAGGCGCUUGAGAGAACUCGGGUGAAGGAACUAGGCAAAAUGGUGCCGUAACUUCGGGAGAAGGCACGCUGAUAUGUAGGUGAAGCGACUUGCUCGUGGAGCUGAAAUCAGUCGAAGAUACCAGCUGGCUGCAACUGUUUAUUAAAAACACAGCACUGUGCAAACACGAAAGUGGACGUAUACGGUGUGACGCCUGCCCGGUGCCGGAAGGUUAAUUGAUGGGGUUAGCGGUAACGCGAAGCUCUUGAUCGAAGCCCCGGUAAACGGCGGCCGUAACUAUAACGGUCCUAAGGUAGCGAAAUUCCUUGUCGGGUAAGUUCCGACCUGCACGAAUGGCGUAAUGAUGGCCAGGCUGUCUCCACCCGAGACUCAGUGAAAUUGAACUCGCUGUGAAGAUGCAGUGUACCCGCGGCAAGACGGAAAGACCCCGUGAACCUUUACUAUAGCUUGACACUGAACAUUGAGCCUUGAUGUGUAGGAUAGGUGGGAGGCUUUGAAGUGUGGACGCCAGUCUGCAUGGAGCCGACCUUGAAAUACCACCCUUUAAUGUUUGAUGUUCUAACGUGGGCCCCUUACCGGGGUUGCGGACAGUGUCUGGUGGGUAGUUUGACUGGGGCGGUCUCCUCCUAAAGAGUAACGGAGGAGCACGAAGGUUGGCUAAUCCUGGUCGGACAUCAGGAGGUUAGUGCAAUGGCAUAAGCCAGCUUGACUGCGAGCGUGACGGCGCGAGCAGGUGCGAAAGCAGGUCAUAGUGAUCCGGUGGUUCUGAAUGGAAGGGCCAUCGCUCAACGGAUAAAAGGUACUCCGGGGAUAACAGGCUGAUACCGCCCAAGAGUUCAUAUCGACGGCGGUGUUUGGCACCUCGAUGUCGGCUCAUCACAUCCUGGGGCUGAAGUAGGUCCCAAGGGUAUGGCUGUUCGCCAUUUAAAGUGGUACGCGAGCUGGGUUUAGAACGUCGUGAGACAGUUCGGUCCCUAUCUGCCGUGGGCGCUGGAGAACUGAGGGGGGCUGCUCCUAGUACGAGAGGACCGGAGUGGACGCAUCACUGGUGUUCGGGUUGUCAUGCCAAUGGCACUGCCCGGUAGCUAAAUGCGGAAGAGAUAAGUGCUGAAAGCAUCUAAGCACGAAACUUGCCCCGAGAUGAGUUCUCCCUGACUCCUUGAGAGUCCUGAAGGAACGUUGAAGACGACGACGUUGAUAGGCCGGGUGUGUAAGCGCAGCGAUGCGUUGAGCUAACCGGUACUAAUGAACCGUGAGGCUUAACCUU